CCCUUAGAUGUUCUGGGCCGCACGCGCGAUACACUGUUCGACGCAGCGAGUCUUAACCUUGACCGAAAGGUUUGGGUAAUCUUCAGCAAAGUCGAACGUGAUGGGGAUCGAUCAUUGCAAUUAUUGAUCGUGAACGAGGAAUUCCUAGUAAGUGCAAGUCACCAGCUUGCGCUGAUUACGUCCCUGCCCUUUGUACACACCGCCCGUCGCUACUACCGAUUGAAUGGUUUAGUGAGAUCUCUGGAUUGACGCUGGCUAGGGGGCGACCCUUGGCCAGACUGUUGAGAAACUGCUCAAACUUGAUCAUUUAGAGGAAGUAAAAGUCGUAACA
rnacentral:rRNA from 1 species